GACGAACGCUGGCGGCGUGCUUAACACAUGCAAGUCGAACGGAAAGGCCCUGCUUUUGUGGGGUGCUCGAGUGGCGAACGGGUGAGUAACACGUGAGUAACCUGCCCUUGACUUUGGGAUAACUUCAGGAAACUGGGGCUAAUACCGGAUAGGAGCUCCUGCUGCAUGGUGGGGGUUGGAAAGUUUCGGCGGUUGGGGAUGGACUCGCGGCUUAUCAGCUUGUUGGUGGGGUAGUGGCUUACCAAGGCUUUGACGGGUAGCCGGCCUGAGAGGGUGACCGGCCACAUUGGGACUGAAAUACGGCCCAGACUCCUACGGGAGGCAGCAGUGGGGAAUAUUGCACAAUGGGCGGAAGCCUGAUGCAGCAAUGCCGCGUGCGGGAUGACGGCCUUCGGGUUGUAAACCGCUUUCGCCUGUGACGAAGCGUGAGUGACGGUAAUGGGUAAAGAAGCACCGGCUAACUACGUG
rnacentral:rRNA from 1 species